AGUGAACGCUGGCGGCAGGCCUAACACAUGCAAGUCGAACGGCAGCACAGUAAGAGCUUGCUCUUACGGGUGGCGAGUGGCGGACGGGUGAGGAAUACAUCGGAAUCUACUUUUUCGUGGGGGAUAACGUAGGGAAACUUACGCUAAUACCGCAUACGACCUACGGGUGAAAGCAGGGGAUCUUCGGACCUUGCGCGAUUGAAUGAGCCGAUGUCGGAUUAGCUAGUUGGCGGGGUAAAGGCCCACCAAGGCGACGAUCCGUAGCUGGUCUGAGAGGAUGAUCAGCCACACUGGAACUGAGACACGGUCCAGACUCCUACGGGAGGCAGCAGUGGGGAAUAUUGGACAAUGGGCGCAAGCCUGAUCCAGCCAUACCGCGUGGGUGAAGAAGGCCUUCGGGUUGUAAAGCCCUUUUGUUGGGAAAGAAAAGCAGCAGGUUAAUACCUCGCUGUUCUGACGGUACCCAAAGAGUAAGCACCGGCUAACUUCGUG
rnacentral:rRNA from 1 species